UCUUAUUUUUGGAAACAGACUAUAGGUUGUCGAAAUCAAUACGUCGCCAUUUUGACUUGGUUUGGAAAAGAAAGCAAGCACCUGUCGGCGACUGAAAUUCAUUCUAGCUUUAUAUUAUUUAAUGUUUGUUUUACCUGGUAUAGCAGACUCAAAAAGUGAGAAAUUUCGGUAUUUAUAGGGUGUAAAGGUAGAGGAUCUAGUCCAAACUGUGUGGUAACAUCUAGAUAGUCUAGGUACCGGUUUUGGUACUGUGACUCCUAACACCAUGCCUUUCCAAUCAAAGAAUGAUCAAAUUAUCAAGCUGAAAAAUCAACGGGAACAAAUGACAUACCACCUCAAAAUUGAUAGAGUCAGAAUGACAAAAAC